rnacentral:rRNA from 1 species
GACGAACGCUGGCGGCGUGCUUAACACAUGCAAGUCGAACGGAAAGGCCCUGCUUUUGUGGGGUGCUCGAGUGGCGAACGGGUGAGUAACACGUGAGUAACCUGCCCUUGACUUUGGGAUAACUUCAGGAAACUGGGGCUAAUACCGGAUAGGAGCUCCUGCUGCAUGGUGGGGGUUGGAAAGUUUCGGCGGUUGGGGAUGGACUCGCGGCUUAUCAGCUUGUUGGUGGGGUAGUGGCUUACCAAGGCUUUGACGGGUAGCCGGCCUGAGAGGGUGACCGGCCACAUUGGGACUGCGGUACGGCCCAGACUCCAACGGGAGGCAGCAGUGGGGAAUAUUGCACAAUGGGCGGAAGCCUGAUGCAGCAACGCCGCGUGCGGGAAGACGGCCUUCGGGUUGUAAACCGCUUUCGCCUGUGACGAAGCGUGAGUGACGGUAAUGGGUAAAGAAGCACCGGCUAACUACGUG